CGCAGCCGCGGUAAUUCCAGCUCCAAUAGCGUAUAUUAAAGUUGUUGCAGUUAAAAAGCUCGUAGUUGAAUUUCGGGGUCAGUAGGUUGGUCGUGCCACCGGUACGUACUGGUCUCACUGAUUCCUCCUUCCUGAUGAGCUGUAAUGCCAUUAAUUUGGUGUUGCAGGGAAUCUGGACUGUUACUUUGAAAAAAUUAGAGUGUUUAAAGCAGGCUAACGCUUGAAUACAUUAGCAUGGAAUAAUGAAAUAGGACGUUCGAUCCUAUUUUGUUGGUUUCUAGGAUUGACGUAAUGAUUAAUAGGGAUAGUUGGGGGCAUUAGUAUUCAAUUGUCAGAGGUGAAAUUCUUGGAUUUAUUGAAGACUAACUACUGCGAAAGCAUUUGCCAAGGAUGUUUUCAUUAAUCAAGAACGAAAGUUAGGGGAUCGAAGACGAUCAGAUACCGUCGUAGUCUUAACCAUAAACUAUGCCGACUAGGGAUCGGAUGAUGUAAUUUUUAAUGACUCAUUCGGCGCCUUAAC
rnacentral:rRNA from 1 species